AUGACGGCAAUACUUCAAUACACAUUUGACAAGAUGAAUGCGUACUUUCUAAAGUACUUGAUGGAAACUGAUGCACAGAUAGCGGGUGAGAACCCGCGCAAGUACAAGUACAAGUUCCCACCCAAGGUUGAUGAAUGGUUAGAAUUUCAAUCACGAAAGGCGGACUUAGAAGAAGCUAUAUUAUAUGACAAUGAAGAGUGGAAGUAUGAAGUGAAAGAGCCAGGAGGAACCACAAACGAUGGUCGGCAACAUGGAGGUCGGGCUUUCAAGGUGUCUUUAACACAAUGUGAUUGCUCUUGCGUGAGGCCAUUGUUGCUUCAUCUCCCAUGCUCACAUUUGUAUACCGCCAGUCGCAUUAGAAAUGUGGACAUCAAUCACCCACGCACCAUGAGGGAGUUGGAGUUCUCAAUCAUGACGGUCAAGAAAACAUGGGCUCCCCGCUUUCACCCAUACUUUGACCAAUCACAAUGGCCGGAGUACCAUGGAGUUCAACUAUGGCCGGAUCCG
rnacentral:rRNA from 1 species